rnacentral:tRNA from 1 species
UGGCUCAGUGGUAGAGUGCUUGCCUUGCGUGCAUGCGGCCCAGGUUCAAUUCCUUG